rnacentral:lncRNA from 1 species
CGACAGGGGACCGAGGAGGAAACAGUCUGACAAUCUGACCGUGUAGGCUACUGGGCUGAUUAACUGAAACACGGAGCUGCCGGUAGCCCUGCCAGUUGGAAACAGCAUGUGAACCAAACCACUUUGAGGAAUAGGGGGAACAUGAUUUUUCAACACUUAAAAAACAAUUUUUUUUAUGUCUAUAAUUAGCACCGCUUGUGUCGUCGUAUUUUUAUUUAAAACAUUUUUUUUUUUUUUUUUUUUUUUUCAAUGAUUGUUGGGGGGGACAACUUUAUGGUAGGGGGGGACACGUCCCCCCCGGGAUCUCCGCCUAUGAGCCCAGACGUGCAGAGGAGUGGACAGGUAAGUGUUGUCCCAAUUAAGGCUAGUCUUUAGGAAUAGCAAUCCAUAUAUUGUUAAUAGUAGCCUAUGUGGUGGCUUGUAAAACAUGUGUUUGUAUGUUUUUGUGUUUUUUCCAGAAGGAGUUGAAUGACGCCCCUGGCUAUGACCAAAACUGCAAGCAACUGCACAAGUGUGCAACAGUCCGUAUCCACCGAUUCCAGUAAUGUCCCCUCCCUGGAAAAAAAACGAUCAAUGUAGUGCUGGUAGACGACAAUGAAUUAUCCAUCCACAACUGAAUGGAUGGGUCUAAGAUGCACCCUAUCACUGAGCCUGAUCAGCACUUCGCUGGAAAUCCCACAAUCCCUCCCAGCAAGAAACCACAGCCAUGAACUGCCUGCAUCUCUGGGAGCUGGAGACACUAAUCGCACAGUCUGAGAUAGAGAUGAUUCUCGUGCAGUUCUUGGGAAGGGUAAGGGGAAAGCAUGAACUUUAGUUUCUCCUUCAUAGGACAUUCCUGCACAUCAGCACUGUCAUAACAUAACAAGUUAGUGCUAGUGUCCUUGAUUUUGAAAUUCAGAGAGGGUUGGCACAUGGCAUUUUCCAUGAUGAUAUUUCCUCUUAAAAUGUAAGAGAGGGGCUUUGUCCUUCUGUCAUUCAACCCAUCUGUAAUGCAAUGUAACAUGCAAGCACAUUUUCUCCUGCCUAUCCUACGGUCAUAUUAUAUUUAAAAUAAAUUGCUGACAUAUUACCUUUUCA